rnacentral:tRNA from 2 species
GAGGUUGUAGCUCAGUGGUAGAGUGCUUGCCUAGCAUGUGUGAGGCCCUGGGUUUAAUCCCCAGCACCACA